GUCUGGAAGAGAUCGCUUUUUAGCGAUAAGACCGCCUGUUGUUACCUGGUUCUAUUUUUUCUUUAAAUAUUUCUUUGUAUUUUACAUGUGUGUAAAAUGUAUAAUUGUUGGUGCAAUAAAGAACAUUUACUUACUUAAGUACUUACUU